UGGGGAAUAUUGGACAAUGGGCGAAAGCCUGACCCAGCAACGCCGCGUGAAGGAUGAAGUAUUUCGGUAUGUAAACUUCGAAAGAAUAGGAAGAAUAAAUGACGGUACUAUUUAUAAGGUCCGGCUAACUACGUGCCAGCAGCCGCGGUAAUACGUAGGGACCAAGCGUUGUUCGGAUUUACUGGGCGUAAAGGGCGCGUAGGCGGCAAUUCAAGUCAUCUGUGAAAUCUCCGGGCUUAACUCGGAACGGUCAGAUGAUACUGCUUUGCUAGAGUGCAGAAGGGGCAAUCGGAAUUCUUGGUGUAGCGGUGAAAUGCGUAGAUAUCAAGAGGAACACCUGAGGUGAAGACGGGUUGCUGGGCUGACACUGACGCUGAGGUGCGAAAGCGUGGGGAGCAAACAGGAUUAGAUACCCACGUAGUCCCUGAGCGGGCUGGCAAGGCGCAU
rnacentral:rRNA from 1 species